rnacentral:rRNA from 1 species
AUUGAACUCUGGUGGCAGGCCUAACACAUGCAAGUCGAGCGAGCGGCGGACGGGUGAGUAAUGUCUGGGAAACUGCCUGAUGGAGGGGGAUAACUACUGGAAACGGUAGCUAAUACCGCAUACCAUCAGAUGUGCCCAGAUGGGAUGUGCUAGUAGGUGGGGUAACGGCUCACCUAGGCGACGAUCCCUAGCUGGUCUGAGAGGAUGACCAGCAAAGUUGGAACUGGGAAAUGGUCCAGUGUCCUACGGGAGGCAGCAGUGGGGAAGAUUGCACAAUGGGCGCAAGCCUGAUGAAGCCAUGCCGCGUGUGUGAAGAAGGCCUUCGGGUUGUAAAGCACUUUUAGCGGGGAGGCGUUACCCGCAGAAGAAGCACCGGCUAACUCCGUGCCAGCAGCCGCGGUAAUUC